AUAAGAAAUAUUUCUGAAAAAGAUGGUGAUGAUAUAAAUGAGUCAAUAAAUCUAUCAUUAUAUGAAAACUGUGAGCAACUCUCAUCUUUAGAAGAUAAUUCUGUCAAUGUUUUACAGAACACAGAAGGAACUAUUUCAGAAGAAAAAAUUGACAAUUUGAGUGAGUCUGAAAAUGUUUCUUCAACUAAUGAUGAUAAACAAUCACAAUUACCUAUCAAAAACAAUUAUCUUAAGAAUAAAAACAAAGUAGAUGAGAUAAGCAGAGAGACUCAGCGGCUAAUUGCUGGUAAUGGUCAUGUAAGACUUCCAUAUCAUAAACCUAAACAAAAAUCAUUGAGCGAUUUUUUAGAUAGGAAAAAACAUCUUUUGGCUAACGCCUCAGUUACAGGAUCACGAAAAAAACUUCAACGUGCAUGGUCAGUAUAUUUAUUUCUAAAUUUGAAAAUCAAAUGUACAUAUUACUUUGAAAUUCUAAAUCCGUAUUUUAACUCCCUAUUAAUUGAAUUAUGCCAUGAUUACCGUUAAAUCUAAAAAUUUAAAAAUAUAGUUUUAAAAAUUUAAUUUAUGUAAAGUAUAGUUAUGAAGAAGAAUGAAAUGCUGGAGAAAGAAUCCUGGAUUUCGCAGUAUCGAAUGAUCUUGCUGUGGUUAAUACUUAUUUUAGAAAGAGGGAAGAACAUUAUAUAACUUGUAAGAGUAGAAGGAAUACAUACAAGAGUGUGGAAAUUAUAGAGGCAUAAAGCUUAUGAGUCAUAGUAUGAAAAUUUGGGAAAAGGUAAUAGAU